GGGGUUGUGGCUCAGUGGUAGAGCACUUGCCUGAGAUGUAUGGGGCAGUGGGUUCAACCCUU
rnacentral:tRNA from 1 species